AUUGAACGCUGGCGGCAUGCUUUACACAUGCAAGUCGAACGGUAACAGGCCGCAAGGUGCUGACGAGUGGCGAACGGGUGAGUAAUGCAUCGGAACGUGCCCAGUCGUGGGGGAUAACUACUCGAAAGAGUAGCUAAUACCGCAUACGAUCUAUGGAUGAAAGCGGGGGACCGUAAGGCCUCGCGCGAUUGGAGCGGCCGAUGUCAGAUUAGGUAGUUGGUGGGGUAAAGGCUCACCAAGCCAACGAUCUGUAGCUGGUCUGAGAGGACGACCAGCCACACUGGGACUGAGGCACGGCCCAGACUCCUACGGGAGGCAGCAGUGGGGAAUUUUGGACAAAGGGCGCAAGCCUGAUCCAGCAAUGCCGCGUGCAGGAAGAAGGCCUUCGGGUUGUAAACUGCUUUUGUACGGAACGAAACGGCUCUGGUUAAUACCCGGGGCUAAUGACGGUACCGUAAGAAUAAGCACCGGCUAACUACGUG
rnacentral:rRNA from 1 species